rnacentral:ncRNA from 1 species
UUAAGUGAAAAUGCUUAAAUAACUAAUCAGACGAUAAGACCCUAUAGAGCUUUAUAUACUUAUCUAUUAAGUAUUAAAAUUUUUAUUAGUUAGUAACCAGGUUGUAUAUUUUAUUGGGGCAAUAAAAGAAUAAAAUUAACUUCUUAUUAAUAAAUUUUAUUUAAUUAAUUAACUUUUAUUAUAAAAUUUAAUAGAAGUUACCUUAGGGAUAACAGCGUUAUUAAAGUUGAGAGUUCUUAUCGACACUUUAGAUUGCGACCUCGAUGUUGAAUUAAAAAUUCUUUGAGGGGCAGCAUUUUUAUUAGAUGGUCUGUUCGACCAUUAAAUUUUUACAUGAUUUGAGUUCAAACCGGUGUGAGCCAGGUUGGUUUCUAUCUUUUAGUU